rnacentral:rRNA from 1 species
AGAGUUUGAUCCUGGCUCAGGAUGAACGCUGGCGGCGUGCCUAAUACAUGCAAGUCGGGCGGGGUUUUGGGGAGCUUGCUCCUUAAAACCCAGCGGCGGACGGGUGAGUAACACGUGGGCAACCUGCCCGCAAGACCGGGAUAACUCCGGGAAACCGGGGCUAAUACCGGAUAGGACCCCGGAUCGCAUGAUCCGGGGUGGAAAGGUGGCCUUCGGCUGCCGCUUGCGGAUGGGCCCGCGGCGCAUUAGCUAGUUGGUGAGGUAACGGCUCACCAAGGUGACGAUGCGUAGCCGACCUGAGAGGGUGACCGGCCACACUGGGACUGAGACACGGCCCAGACUCCUACGGGAGGCAGCAGUAGGGAAUUUUCCGCAAUGGGCGAAAGCCUGACGGAGCAACGCCGCGUGAGCGAGGACGGCCUUCGGGUUGUAAAGCUCUGUUCUUCGGGAAGAACGGCGGGAGAGUGAACAGCUCUCUCGUUUGACGGUACCGAAGGAGAAAGCCCCGGCUAACUACGUGCCAGCAGCCGCGGUAAUACGUAGGGGGCGAGCGUUGUCCGGAAUUAUUGGGCGUAAAGCGCGCGCAGGCGGCCGAUUAAGUCAGGUGUGAAAGGCUGCGGCUCAACCGCAGAGUUGCAUCUGAAACUGGUCGGCUUGAGUGCAGGAGAGGGGAGCGGAAUUCCCGGUGUAGCGGUGGAAU